CGGGGACAGAUACAUAUGCAUCUCCUAUGAGUCCACCUAUGAGUCAACCUCAUCAUCGGGAUUUAUCGCCUAAUCUAGAAAAAUCUAUCACAUUGCAAAAGAAAUGCGAUAGGAACUAUAAAAGGAGGAGGGAUGACAUAUUAAAGAAGGAUCGUAUAAUAAAGCAGACAUUAGAAAAGGCGAUGUCAAAUCAAUUGAGGGAAAUUGGACUACGAGAAGGCCGGUAGGCAUGGUAGUGAUCUGCAAAUGAAGAUACCUCCUAAAGGUUAUCGAGCCAUUUUGGG